rnacentral:rRNA from 1 species
AUUGAACGCUGGCGGCAUGCCUUACACAUGCAAGUCGAACGGCAGCAUGGAAGAGCUUGCUCUUCUGAUGGCGAGUGGCGAACGGGUGAGUAAAGCAUCGGAACGUACCGUGUAAUGGGGGAUAACGUAGCGAAAGUUACGCUAAUACCGCAUACGACCUGAGGGUGAAAGCAGGGGAUCGCAAGACCUUGCGUUAUACGAGCGGCCGAUGUCAGAGUAGCUAGUUGGUAGGGUAAAGGCCUACCACGGCGACGAUCUGUAGCGGGUAUGAGAGGAUGAUCCGCCACACUGGGACUGAGACACGGCCCAGACUCCUACGGGAGGCAGCAGUGGGGAAUUUUGGACAAUGGGGGAAACCCUGAUCCAGCCAUGCCGCGUGAGUGAAGAAGGCCUUCGGGUUGUAAAGCUCUUUCGGCCGGGAAGAAAUCGCACAGGCUAAUACUCUGUGUGGAUGACGGUACCGGCAUAAGAAGCACCGGCUAACUACGUGCCAGCAGCCGCCGUAA